UACGAGUGGUCCAAGCGUUAUCCGGAAUUAUUGGGCGUAAAGGAUGUGUAGGUGGUUAUGUUAGUCUGGUGUCGAACCUCCAAGCUCAACUUGGAGACAGCAUUGGAAACGGCAUGACUAGAGUAUGUUAGGGGUAAGCGGAACUAAUAGUGUAGGGGUGAAAUCCGUUGAUAUUAUUGGGAACACCAAAAGCGAAGGCAGCUUACUGGAACAUUACUGACACUGAAACAUGAAAGCGUGGGUAGCGAAUGGG
rnacentral:rRNA from 1 species